rnacentral:rRNA from 1 species
GACGAACGCUGGCGGCGUGCCUAACACAUGCAAGUCGAGCGAAUGAAGUUCCUUCGGGAAUGGAUUUAGCGGCGGACGGGUGAGUAACACGUGGGCAACCUGCCUCAUAGAGGGGAAUAGCCUUCCGAAAGGGAGAUUAAUACCGCAUAAGAUUGUAGUAUCGCAUGAUACAGCAAUUAAAGGAGCAAUCCGCUAUGAGAUGGGCCCGCGGCGCAUUAGCUAGUUGGUGAGGUAACGGCUCACAAAGGCGACGAUGCGUAGCCGACCUGAGAGCGUGAUCGGCCACAUUGGGACUGGGACACGGCCCAGACUCCUACGGGAGGCAGCAGUGGGGAAGAUUGCACAAUGGGGGAAACCCUGAUGCAGCAACGCCGCGUGAGUGAUGACGGCCUUCGGGUUGUAAAGCUCUGUCUUCAGGGACGAUAAUGACGGUACCUGAGGAGGAAGCCACGGCUAACUACGU